CAGCAGCCGCGGUAAUACGAAGGGGGCUAGCGUUGCUCGGAAUGACUGGGCGUAAAGGGCGCGUAGGCGGCUGACACAGUCAGAUGUGAAAUUCCUGGGCUCAACCUGGGGACUGCAUUUGAGACGUGUUGGCUUGAGUGGAGAAGAGGGUCGUGGAAUUUCCAGUGUAGAGGUGAAAUUCGUAGAUAUUGGAAAGAACACCGGUGGCGAAGGCGGCGACCUGGUCUUUAACUGACGCUGAGGCGCGAAAGCGUGGGGAGCAAACAGGAUUAGAUACCCCUGUAGUCCCUGUCUCUUAUAU
rnacentral:rRNA from 1 species